rnacentral:rRNA from 1 species
UACAGAGGUCCCGAGCGUUGUUCGGAUUCAUUGGGCUUAAAGGGCGCGUAGGCGGGCGGUCAAGUCAGAGGUGAAAUCCUCCAGCUCAACUGGAGAAGUGCCCCUGAUACUGGCCGUCUCGAGGGAGGUAGGGGCAUGUGGAACUUCCGGUGGAGCGGUGAAAUGCGUAGAUAUCGGAAGGAACGCCGGUGGCGAAAGCGACGUGCUGGACCUCUUCUGACGCUGAGGCGCGAAAGCCAGGGGAGCAAACGGG